UGUCUUGUAAAUGCCGAGCUUGGUCCUG
rnacentral:sRNA from 1 species